UGUGCUCAGUUGGUAGAGCAUUGUGCAAACAAUGCAAAGGUCAUGGGUUCAAAUCCCAAGGAAACCA